UCCCCAUACCCUGUCCAGUAUGGGCGCCAAAAUACAUAAAGUCUCCAUACCCCGUCCGGUAUGAGAGACCACGUUCCCGGUAGGGUUCCCUACGGACCCGGUCCGUCCACCAUCUCCCAGGAUAUCUAGUCAGGCUCUCCACAUUAUCCACUUAUCAAUUCACAUAACCUUUUUGCUUUUUUCCUUAAUCUCAAUCAUCCAAUCAUACAAAACAUGUAAAGCAGUAAUUGACACCAAAUAAGACAAUACAGUAUCGGGUUCACCAUAAUACAAACCAUAAUAAAAAGAACCAUAGUUCAUACAUACGAGACCAUAACAUAAUUACAUCAAACAUCAUGCUGCAUUUAAUACUAGAAAUUAAAUCAAACAAUAACAGACCAACACCGUAUCAGACUCGGACUCCAUUGGCAACCUUAAUCAAUUAUACAUCUAUAAAGUCACACAGUACAUUUUAAUUAUUUAUUUAGCUUUAAUACCGUGAUAGGAAAUAGGGUGAUGGGUCCUUACUUAUUUCGGGGUCUGAAAUUGACUUUACAGUGCACCUACGGGCUGUCCCUAAUUUCCCUAAAUUUUUUUCAAAAAACUAAAAAACACUACCGGUACCUGCACGUGACCCAAAAAAUCCCAAAUCAGACCUAGGGCCCCUUUCAACCAAUAUCAAAAUUCCAGCACGAUGGCGAUUCGCCUCGGGUUGGCCAUUUUCAGCCAAAUUCAUCCACAUUUGCAUCGGUCCCUGUGAUAAAACAACCUUAGGGCCCUCGGUGGGCCAAAAAAUACGAAAAACUGAGACUUACCGGCGGUGGUGCUCUCGGGUGCGGCGGCUCCUCCGGCGUGAGUCGCAUUUUGAUGUUUGGCUCUGAUCAACCUGUAGAGAAAAGAACGGUG
rnacentral:lncRNA from 1 species